rnacentral:lncRNA from 1 species
GAUAAGCCAAAAAGAAACAGGACCAACCGAGCUGAUAUAGUCAAGUAGCGCUGCAUUAGCUUGGGAUCUAAAUUUUUUUUUUUUUUUUUUUUUGGUCAAAUAACUUGGGGUGUACUUGGGCAGUGAUGAGUUUUGUGGUUCAAGAAAAGUUGCAAAAUUAACCCCUCUCUGUAUUUUGUUUGUAUCACUCACAUACCUAGUCAUUUCCCUUGCAUACCCCCUUCGCCCACAUAUUGUACGUACCUAAGUAUAUGCCCCAAAUAUCCACGUAUAUGCCGUGUAUCAAACCUUAGUAUCCAUGCUUCAUAGGCGGUAACAAUAAUUUUUUUGAAAGAAUAGUAGAGUGUGACUUAAAGCUUCUCAUUGAUUAUUUUCUUCUUAAAUGUGAUAUUCU